rnacentral:rRNA from 1 species
CAGUAGCCGCGGUAAUACGUAGGGUGCAAGCGUUAAUCGGAAUUACUGGGCGUAAAGCGUGCGCAGGCGGUUUUGCAAGUCAGAUGUGAAAUCCCCGGGCUCAACCUGGGAACUGCAUUUGAAACUACAAGGCUAGAGUGUGUCAGAGGGGGGUAGAAUUCCACGUGUAGCAGUGAAAUGCGUAGAGAUGUGGAGGAAUACCGAUGGCGAAGGCAGCCCCCUGGGAUAACACUGACGCUCAUGCACGAAAGCGUGGGGAGCAAACAGGAUUAGAUACCCGUGUAGUCCCUGUCUCUUAUAC